rnacentral:tRNA from 1 species
GUAGGGUGGCCGAGUAGGUGGCAAGUUGUAGCCUUGUUUACGGGGCAUCCCCCCCCCCA